GUGCUCACUUUGGCAGCACAUAUACUAAAAUUGGAACAAUACAGGGAUUACCGUGGCCCCUGCACAAGGAUGACACACAAAUUCGUGAAGCAUUGCAUAUUUUU
ensembl:snRNA U6 U6 spliceosomal RNA